rnacentral:rRNA from 1 species
AGAGUUUGAUCAUGGCUCAGAUUGAACGCUGGCGGCAUGCCUUACACAUGCAAGUCGAACGGCAGCGCGGACUUCGGUCUGGCGGCGAGUGGCGAACGGGUGAGUAAUACAUCGGAACGUACCCUGUUGUGGGGGAUAACUAGUCGAAAGAUUAGCUAAUACCGCAUACGACCUGAGGGUGAAAGUGGGGGACCGCAAGGCCUCACGCAGCAGGAGCGGCCGAUGUCUGAUUAGCUAGUUGGUGGGGUAAAGGCCCACCAAGGCGACGAUCAGUAGCUGGUCUGAGAGGACGAUCAGCCACACUGGGACUGAGACACGGCCCAGACUCCUACGGGAGGCAGCAGUGGGGAAUUUUGGACAAUGGGGGCAACCCUGAUCCAGCAAUGCCGCGUGUGUGAAGAAGGCCUUCGGGUUGUAAAGCACUUUUGUCCGGAAAGAAAUCGCGCUGGUUAAUACCUGGCGUGGAUGACGGUACCGGAAGAAUAAGCACCGGCUAACUACGUG